UACAGAGGUCCCAAGCGUUGUUCGGAUUCACUGGGCGUAAAGGGUGCGCAGGUGGUCGGGUAAGUCUGAUGUGAAAUCCCGCAGCUCAACUGCGGAAUGGCAUUGGAUACUAUUUGGCUAGAGGGUUGGAGGGGGGACUGGAAUUCUCGGUGUAGCAGUGAAAUGCGUAGAUAUCGAGAGGAACACCAGUGGCGAAGGCGAGUCCCUGGACAACUCCUGACGCUGAGGCACGAAAGCUAGGGGAGCAAACGGG
rnacentral:rRNA from 1 species